rnacentral:rRNA from 1 species
AGAGUGAACGCUGGCGGCGUGCUUAACACAUGCAAGUCGAACGAGAACGGAUUUUAGCUUGCUAAAAUUGUCAGCUAAGUGGCGCACGGGUGAGUAAUAUAUAGGUAACGUGCCCUAGAGAAGAGGAUAACAUUUGGAAACGAAUGCUAAUACUCUAUAUGCCUUUAAGACUUAAGUCUGCAAGGGAAAUAUUUAUAGCUCUAGGAUCGGCCUGUACGGUAUCAGCUUGUUGGUGAGGUAAUGGCUCACCAAGGCAAUGACACCUAACUGGUUUGAGAGGAUGAUCAGUCACACUGGAACUGAGACACGGUCCAGACUCCUACGGGAGGCAGCAGUGGGGAAUAUUGCACAAUGGACGAAAGUCUGAUGCAGCAACGCCGCGUGGAGGAUGACACAUUUCGGUGCGUAAACUCCUUUUAUAUAGGAAGAUAAUGACGGUACUAUAUGAAUAAGCGCCGGCUAACUCCGUGCCAGCAGCCGCGGUAAUACGGAGGGCGCAAGCGUUACUCGGAAUCACUGGGCGUAAAGAGCGUGUAGGCGGGUUAAUGAGUCAGAAGUGAAAUCCAAUAGCUCAACUAUUGAACUGCUUUUGAAACUGUUAACCUAGAAUAUGGGAGAGGUAGAUGGAAUUUCUGGUGUAGGGGUAAAAUCCGUAGAGAUCAGAAGGAAUACCGAUUGCGAAGGCGAUCUACUGGAACAUUAUUGACGCUGAGACGCGAAAGCGUGGGGAGCAAACAGGAUUAGAUACCCUGGUAGUCCACGCCCUAAACGAUGCACACUAGUUGUUGCCAUGCUAGACAUGGCAGUAAUGCAGUUAACACAUUAAGUGUGCCGCCUGGGGAGUACGGUCGCAAGAUUA